rnacentral:rRNA from 1 species
UACGAAGGGGGCUAGCGUUGCUCGGAAUCACUGGGCGUAAAGCGCACGUAGGCGGCUUUCUAAGUCAGGGGUGAAAUCCUGGAGCUCAACUCCAGAACUGCCUUUGAUACUGGAGAGCUUGAGUCCGGAAGAGGUGAGUGGAACUCCGAGUGUAGAGGUGAAAUUCGUAGAUAUUCGGAAGAACACCGGUGGCGAAGGCGGGUCUCUGGGCCGAAAUUGACGCUGAGGAGCGAAAGCGUGGGGAGCAAACAGG